AUAAAAUAUAUUUUUUAAAUCUAAAUGAAUUUUUUGUAUCAGACUGAAUGAGAUUCAUGGGUUGCUGACAGAAGAACUCCACUGAUAAUAGAACCCCAAUAUUUUAAAGAAUUUUUUAAAAUUUCUUUGUAUGCGACAGUAGAACUCCAACGACAGUAGAUGAGUAGAACUCCAAAAGAAAUAAGAACUCACUUUUUAAGUAUUAUUAAAACUACCCGACAAUAGAACUCCAGUGCCCGGCAGUAGAACUCCACUAAACGACAAUAGAACUCCAACUAUUUUUUAAUUAUUUUCAUGGCCGACAGUAGAACUCCAUUGAAUUUUAAAUAUUUUAAAUGUCCGUCAAUAGAAUUCCAACGAUUUUAAAAUUACAUUCCUCUGUAAAUCAUAGCUGGCGGUUUAUUUUAGAAAGAGUUAUUAAAUAUAAAAACAGAAGCAGCUGUAGCCCCACGUGAAGGUCGGGGAGCUACUCUACUUAGUUAACAUCAAUGACAAACGUGAAAAAAACGUGAAUAAAUGGUUAAAUUACUUAAUCGACCGCUAGAUGUCCUGAAUACUUAAUCGACCGCUAGAUGUCCUGAACUGGCAAUGCCUAUCAUGUUGCUGCGGUAACGCCUAAUGUGAUUGCCGCGUUAUUGAGUUAAUUCUUAAUUGGAUUUAUAUUAUUCUGGAGAAAUAAAAUCACAUAUUCCCAUAUGACUGUAGACUGAAACUGUACAGUACCUGAUGUUGUUGCUUGCUAAAGUUGUUAUAAAGCAAGCAUGGCUGGUAUGCUACGUGAAAACCACAAGAAAAUUGUCUAUCUUCAUAACCAUAUGCUGAAUGUUCCUUUUAAUCACAUCUUCCGUUGCAUAAUUGCAUCUUUGUAGCCCGACAGUUGUGGAAUCAUAUGCACAGUGCAGGUUCAUUCAUGCUGUGAAUGAUGAAUGCUUCUGUAUCAUGCAUGUUAGGGUGUACCUCCUACAGCAGAUGGAGGAUGUUUGGGAGGGAAGAUAUUGACGACCCUACCUGACCCUACAAAGCCAGAGUGUCAUGGUUGUUCUUCACUGCUGACCUGCAUAAACAGCCAUCAAAAGUUCAUUCAUGCCCGUGAAUGAUAGAUGCUUCUGUAUCAUGCAUAUUUCGGUGUGUGGAAGUAGUUGUGAAAUAUUAAGGACCAUAUACCCUGCACUUUCGCCUUACAUCAGGAAGAUUUAAUUAAGCAGAAACCUUCGUACAGCAGAUCGAGAUUGAAGAGAAGAAAUUGACGAUUCCAGCAAGAGUGUCUGAUUCAUCUUUGUGUCGAUGUUUGGCGAGGAAAUUGACGACCCAACAAGAGCGAUACUGAGAGAGCGUCGUUCUUCAGAAGUGACCUGCAUCAACGCCUGUAAAAAAUUCUGGAAUCAGACUGAACGAGAUUUUGCUUCCGGAAGAAAAACUGCGAUAACAGGGGCAUACAGACUACCACACGUUCAACGCGGGUCAUCUAUUUCUGUUGUUGGUAAUAUGUUUUUGUUAGUUAAUCCGUUGGUUGCCACGCCUUUGUUCUCCCCUAGCUCCUUAGCACGGGCCGCGCUGUUCGGUCUCGUGGUUUACAUGCCGCGGGGUCGGACAGUCGCACCAGCCCAAGAUUCGCCGAAAGGCCCCGUUAGGCAAUGCACCAUAGGGACUUCCCCCUUGUCGAUACGGUGAUGGAUUCUAGAGGUUGUGCAUUCCAUCUUCUCCCAUCACCGUGUCAGCCCGGACUUGUCAGCAAUGGCAAGUCCCACCUUGGUCAUGGAUCCUUCAGACGUGACGCGUAGAGUAGUAGAAGAACAACCUACGGGUUGUAUGGCGUGGCAGCCAACGGGUUAACUAAGUGUAUGUGUGUAUGUAUGUAUGUAUUUAUGUGACUGUAAAAUGUGGUGGAAUUGUGGGUGGAGGUGGGACAAUAUAACACAAUUCUUUUUAUAA